CAAACCACAACAACAUCCUCUGAUCUGAUCCUAAGAAAAAACUUAACCUAAUGGGAACAAUGAAAAACCUUGAAAGUGACCGUAGAUGUGGGCACCCCAACCAGACUUUGUGCAGAACAAGGAAAAAUAUAUAUAUAUAUAUCCACUCUGCAGCUAUAUAGUCAAAAAGAGCUGGCAUGUUCCACUCCUGUCACUGACAAAACACUUGAAGAGAUCAUCCACAGUCUGAGGUCAUCAACAUGCUGUCUUGAUGAGUUACCCACUAGAGUUCUAAAGUCUGUGCUGAUCAGUUUGUUACCACAAUUUGCUCAUCUAGUUAACAUCUCACUUCAGACUGGAACAUUCCCCAAGGCCUUAACGUUUCUGUCAUUACCCCCCUUUGAAAGAAGAGAAUUUUAGAUGUCACAUAAAUUAAUCACGUUUGGCCCAUAUCCAACCUGCCAUUCUUGGGCAGAGUCCUAGAAAAAGUUGUAUACCAACAACUCAGUGACUUUCUCCUGUUUAACAAUGUAUUUGAUACUUUCCAAUCGGGCUUUAGGCCCCACCCAGCACUGAAACAGCUCUGAUCAAGGUGACAAAUGAUGUCCGCCAGAACACAGACGCAGAAAAUGUCUUAGUCUAAUUAUAGAGGUUGGAAAACAUGGUGGGAAUAUCUGAUUCUGUCCUUCACUGGUUCAAGUCCUAUAUGGACCACAUUGUUGGAAUCGGCAUCUGUGGUAACCUUGAGACUCUCACCAUUAAAAUUAAUAAUCAGGUUAGAAAUCCAGGGGUAAUAAUGGACUCAAACUUGAACCUUAACAGCAACAUUAGGUCAAUAACAUCAGCAGCUUUUUACCAUCUGAAAAACAGCGCCAAAAACCGGGGGAAUAAUGUAUAAAUCAGACUCAGAAAGACUAAUCCAUACCUUUGUCCCCAGCAGGUUAGACUACUGUAAUGGCCUUCUCACUGAGCUCUCUAAAAUGCUGCUGCUUGAAUCCUGACUAGAAGCAGGAAUAUACGACCAGUGCUUAGGUCUCUGCACUGGCCUCGUGUUGCUCAGAGAAACAGCUCUCCUUUUGUACAAAUCUUUUCAUGGUCUUGUGCCAAAGUACAUCUUUGACAUGUUAGAACCAUAUGAACCAUCUCGGGCUCUGAGAACCUCAGGGAGUGGUCUCCUGCUGGUUUCCAGAGUCAGGACAAAGUAUGGUGAGGCUGUGUUUCAGUUUUGUGCUCCUAAAAUCUUGAAGAGUCCUCCAAAAGAUGGGAGACACACCUUUAGAAAUGUCCAAAUGCAGGCUAAAAACAUUUUUAUUUAACUGUUCAUAUGACAACUUAAAUUAUUUUGUCUACACUAUUUGAUGUUAUUUUAAAUGUUGAUUGUUUUUAUGAUGAUUUUAUUCUAUGGUUUGAAUUUGAAUUAUGAUUACUUUUCAGAUUAUUCUGGUUUUAUUUUUGCUUCCUUAUAAAUUUCUGUAAAGCACUUUGAAUUGUGUUGUGUACAAAUUGUGCUCUAUAAAUAAACUUGCCUUGCCCAUUUAUGAGAGGCAUUCCACUCUUCCACUACCACCACAUUCCCCUACUUGGACUAACUGCCCACAAUUUGUUGCCAGAGACAUCUCGGGGAUUUUGAGUCUUUCUGCGCUACAUUUGAGUUCAGUGUGUACAGUUUUUAAAAUCAUAUUAUUAAUGAUAAACGAUUAAUCUGCAUUAAGGUGCACAUUUUGACAGCCCUUGCUAAACAAAACAAUGUUUACAGUCAACUGGUACAACAAGUUUUACAUGUUGGAGAUAUACUUCCUGCUUGUCCUACCAUCAUGAAACAUUUUGAUUUUUAACAAACUAAAUCUGAAUCAAAACAUUUUAAACAAUUUACAUUGUAUUUUUCCCCUGUAACUCCAUAAAAUUGGUAAAGAACCACUACUGCCUGGUGGGAUAUUAACUGUUUUUCUUUUAAAGAAACUUGUAUGAACAAGGUACUUGAAUAAAUGCAUCAUUGACAACAACACCUUACAGAAAUACCAAUAUUAAUAAACUGUACAACCUACAAAACAUAUCAACAUGGAAUUAUAUCAAAAAUAUAUACUUAUCACCACAAACACAAGAGUAUUUAUAAAACAUGAUGACAUAACUUACCUAAAAUGAGGGAAGUCAUGAAAUAAACUAAGACAUGUUGAGUCAUUCUUGAUGAUCAGCAUUCACAAAAAUCUAUUUGAAUACAAGUCCAUGUUUUUUUCAUGAACUGCUACCGAACUGAUAUUUACAGGUGUCUAUGAGGCUGUGAUUUGUCAAAAGUGAAACCAGUCAGUGAAACAUCAGCAGUAGACUUUCACAACAAGAGCAGAACAACGAGGUAUAAUUGGCACUGCGCUCUUAAAUUGUUGCUCAUCUUGUUAUGGACUGAGAAGAGAAGGUGGCGACAAUCGGUUUACCAGGUUUAUGGAAACCAAUGUUCCCUCUAAUUUUUCAUGUUUGAGCAUUCAGGGGAGCACAUGUGAGCAAUAUCAGAUGUGCACACUGUGGCCACACAAGCGUCACACGCUUGUACAGUAGAUGGCAGUAUUGUCCUGUUUAAGAGUGUCACAACAUUGCUGUUUACGGCAGCCGAACUGCUUUACGGUACACGAAAACGUGACUGCUGUUGUUGUGUGUUGUUACCGCGCUGGGAGGACGUUAAUGAAACUGCCUAACAAUAAACCCACGUAAGAAACCAAGAACUCGACCUCAAUCAUUCUGCAGUUAUGACGUCAUUGGGCAGACACGCUGUUUGUAUUGUGGGAUAGCGGAUGUGAAAACAGGCUGUCCUCACUCAGGUCCGCAUGGAGCUGGAGGGGGCGAGGCCUCCAGCUCCGCCUGAAUUUCGGGAGAUUUUCGGGAGAAAAUUUGUCCCGGGAGGUUUUCGGGAGAGGCGCUGAAUUUCGGGAGUCUCCCGGAAAAUCCAGGAGGGUUGGCAAGUAUUUUCAAAGCGUAGGAUAAAAGUAUUAUAGUCCAAAAUUGAGGGUACAUUUAACAGCCUUUUCUUCUUUGUUGGGUUUGGUUCCUUUCGAUGUCUGAUCCAAACCACCAGUUGUAUCUUCUUUAACACAAACAUGACUUGUUGACAUACAUGAAGCAUAAAAGCUUGGAAACAAAUGUUCUUGUUUGUUUGCAGUCCUGAGCAGGAAGUCCAGAAGAUCUUCAAAUCCAAACACCCAAUGGACACUGAGGUCACCAAAGCCAAGAUUAUAGGUUUUGGUGUGGGUUUGCUGGAGGGCGUUGAUCCUAACCCUGCAAACUUUGUCGGAGCUGGAGUGGUCCACACUAAAUGUUCUCAGGUGGGAUGCACUGCUACGCUCUUGGAAGCCCAGCACACUAGUGAUAUAUAUAAAUAUAUAUAUUAGCUUUUUGCACUUUUGAAGGGCAGUAUGACAUCACACCCGAGACCUUUGCCAUGGUGCCGCCUUUACACUCUUCUUCUACACACACUUUGUACUGUAGCUCACUCUGGUGCCUUUGUCUCACUGAAACACUAGCAGCACAGUGCCUCACUACUUCUACCUGAAUGCACACACUAAAUAUUUCUAUUUUCACCGCCUUCACUUUAAAUGCUCCUCACUGCCUUUGGAGGUAUUUUUUUUCAACUGUUUGAAAAUAAAACCAGGCCAGGUCCGUCUGUUCUAUACAAUUACUGAAAUAUGUAUCGUCUUAACAGUGGUUCUCAAUCUUUAAAAACAACAUUUGGCUUUCCAAGAACCUUCAUACUUUUUUGAUCAUAGACUUAGACAAACUUUAAUGAUCCACAAGGGAAAUUGUUCCACACAGUAGCUCAGUUACAAUGAUGGAAAGUGUAAGAAUGGAAAGGACAAUGCAGGUAAAAAUAGACUAUAGUGAUAUAAAUUAUAUACACAAUAUUUACAUCAUAUAUGUACAGUUUCAUAUCUAUUUAUUUGAAAACGUUUUCAAUCAAGCUUUAUUGCAGACUCCAACGUCCAGGUAGACUAUUCAGUCUAAGCCUGGGCCCCUGGAGAGGAGGUCCAGACUAAGGCCAACGGAAAAAACUCAUAGUUAAAGCACACAUAAGCAUGUGUGUAAGAGGGAAACAUCAAAGAACACAAAGGACAUUAAAAGAGCAUAGCUGAUGCAACCAGCCAUUUCUAUAUACAGCUACAAAAAAAUAUAUAUAAAAUAAAAAAAAAUGUAUACACUGUGGUGGCCUCUGCGGUAUUCCACGCCAUCAUCUGCUGGGGUCGGGGGAACAUGGCCAGAGACAGGAGCAGACCCAACAAAGCAACCAAGAGAGCCACUCGGCCGCUCACUAACUCUCGGCCAGUGUCCAGUCUGCAUGGAUGAGUGAGGAUGCGUCCAAGGAGACCGAGGUGUCCGAUACCUGCUCAUUCAGCCAAGACACUGUGAAGCCCGUCCGUCCCGGCGCUCAGCACCAGCUCCGCAGCUCUGUCUCUUCAUCCGCGUCUCCUCCAGUCUCUCCAAACGGACUCUGGUGUGGCAGAGACCCAGCAGCUGGUCUCCAUGUCCAAAAGGCUCCCGGGAGGCAGAUCCAGAAGUCCACAAAAAAGCCCCACAGAAGUCUCGAAAGUGUCACCCCUUGUCAGACAGUCCCAAAGGGUCCCGAACCAAAAGGAAAAAAACAAAUCCCACAUGAAAACAAGAAGGAAACACCAGGAACACAGAAGGAUGACACAAGAGCACAGAGCUCCUGCCACCAGCAGCCACUACAGCGGCAACAUCUUGGGGAAAAAAAAAAUUAUCCAGUUGUUGGAGAAUUUGUCAGAUAGGCACCAGCGACCCCAAAGGGAAUAAGCGGUAGAAAAUGCAUGAAUGGAUGUUGCUACAACCUCCAUUUUUGUUUCAAAAUAGCCUUUUAACAUAGAUGGCUUCCUUCACUCAUUUUUCAAAAUGUUAGUUCUUUAUGUUUAAGUAAAUGUCUUUGUUUUCUCCCUGAAGUAUUCCUUAUUUUUGAAUAUGUAGAACUGGUUCCUGGCCAAGUGUUGCAACGACUGACUGUCACUCCACUGCAGUCAUGCAUUUCCUCCGAAUUUUUCAGAAGUUAAUCUUGCUGAUCAUUGCUGGUAUCUGAAAGUUCAGUGAUAGUGUUUAAGUGUGUUGAAGAGGAAUGAAGUGCAGGAACAGAAGCAGUGAGUAGCAUGGCUCCUUCUGAAUCCAUCUUCUCAUCCUCAGUCAACACGUUCAGUCCUAAAACACACCAAAAAAGGUAAAAAUGCACAACAUUCUGAAACGGGAUGAAAAAAUAAUAUCUUGAAGCAGAACACAAUAAGUGUAAUGACUUAGUUUACCUGAGUUGGAGGGAAGAGUGAGUACUUGGACUAAGAAGGAUGUCUUUUCAUCACGCUCUUUGGACACUGAAACAACAACACAAAGAUAAUUACAUUCCAAUCACCUUAGUGAGGUAAGGAAACUAACAUCCCAACAAGGUAUUAAUUACAUUUAAAUAAAUAACUAAUGUGA